CCCCUUUCCUGCCUGGUCUUAAGCUGGAAUACUUGCAGAUGGCUCCAUCUGAAACAGACCUCCCUGGCCGAGAGCAAAGUCACCUAUCCCAGAGUCAGAUCUGCCCCUCCCCUUGCCGCAUAUGUGGUACGGAGGUGGAUGGCCGGGGUGAAAAGGAGGGGGGUUCUCUGCCCCACCCCGCUCCUCUACUUUCCAUCCCCCGAUAAGCCUCAGCUGCCUUUCUCCUGGGAAAGGAGAGCCUGUGACAGCCCGGAGAGGCCCUCUUCAGCCUGGCCCUCGCCAGGGCAGAAUGUUAAGCCGAGGGGCUCCAGUGAAACGGGAGCCAGCGUUUCUAAAUUAAGGUUAACCAUCCCUGGUGCAGUUAGCGGAUCUUGGAAUAACUGGAGGCCUUUUACCAUUCCAGCUGUUCUCUGAAUACAAUCCAGAAUAUCAAUGUCCUCUCUAAAAUGCAGUUCUCCAAAUUGAACAUGAUAUAAAGAAAGAUUGCCUGGCUUACAACCAAAAGAACAAAUCAGUUGAGUGAUUUUUAUGGUAUUCUGGCAAAACCCAACACUUGGCUUCUUCCCAGUUAAGUUUGUUGGUAUUACUGAAAAAGUCCUUCUGUUCAAAAAAGUCAAGUUAACCUCCAGGUUGAAAAGAAGGAGGCUUUACAUCCUAGUCAAAGGGGAGUGGAAAAUUGGGUUGUGCUUUAGAUAAGUAUGUAAUAUUUCCUUGCAUAUCAUUUGUUCAAGUUACGUUAUUGACUUUGGAAAUGCAAGUUAUGAAAACUAAAAAGAAAAAAAAGAGGUUCUUCCCAUGAGGCAAUCGAACUGAAGAAUUACAAGUUCAAGCUAAAAUGUCAUCUUGAACAUGCCUUCCUCACCAUCGUAUUACUUAAGAGCGUAGUGUUAUAUUACCACUGAAUUUCCUGUCCCAGAUAAGGUUAAGCUAGAUAUUUGAUGUUAUUUAAAUAGUUUUAAAUAUUUUAUGAUAUCUAGAAUUAUGCCAUUUUCCAUAGCUCACACCCUGUACUUUAAUGUUUUAUUUGCCAAAAAUGAAGGAAAAAUAUCUUUCUCAUGUACACACAGCAGCUUGGGCAAUAUGUGCAAUUUUGUGCUUAGCACAAAAACAACAAAGAAAUAGGUUAAGCAGCCCUACCACCUCCUCAAUCAUCGUAUAUAUAUUUUAUAGACUGGGCAGGACAAGGUAGAGAGAAAUAUGCCCCAAAUAUGUGAAUGUAUGAGUCUAUAUAUUUUUGCUUAAAGCAGUGUUCAAGCAUACUGCCGUUAAAUUGUUUUCUGCUAAAAGCGUUUGAAGUCCUUCCAUCCCAGGAGAGCAUUAUAAAAGAAGUAUGGCUAUCUAAAGGAAAUUUGCCCUGGAUGAGAAUUUUGUACAAAAAUCCACAUGCCACAUUUUUUUCAAGGCAGACAUGUUGCCAAUUAAAAACCAAGGUGUAGUGGAGAAGUCAGAAAUCCCACAUUAUUUUUCCACAACUCCAGGAUGGAUAAUAUUCACAUUACAUUGAAAUGAGUAAGAUAUGUCCAGUAGAAACUGAAUGGAUGCCCAUCAAUUGGAGAAUGGCUGAAUAAAUUAUGAUAUAUGAAUGUUAUGGAAUAUUAUUGUUCUGUAAGAAAUGACCAACAGGAUGAUUUCAGAGAGGUCUGGAGAGACUUACACGAACUGAUGCUGAGUGAGAUGAGCAGAACCAGGAGAUCAUUAUACACGGCAACAGCAAGAUUGAACAAUGAUCAACUCUGAUGGACGUGGCUCUCCUCAACAAUGAGAUGAUUCAAACCAGUUCCAACUGUUCAGUGAUAAAGAUAAAGUGAUGAAGAGGGUCAUCUACAAGUCUGUGUGAACUAAGUGUGGAUCACAACAUAGCAUGUUCAUGCUUUCUGUUAUUGUUUGCUUGCAUGUUUGUUUUCUUCUCAGGUUUUUUUUUUUUCCUUCUUGAUCUGAUUUUUCUUGUGCAGCAAGAUUACUGUAUAAAUAUGUAUACACAUAUUGUAUUUAAC
rnacentral:lncRNA from 1 species